GGACCAAGGAGUCUAGCAUGUGCGCGAGUCAUUGGGACUCUAAUGAAACCUAAAGGCGCAAUGAAAGUGAAGGUUCGCCUCGCGCGAACCGAGGGAGGAUGGGUGGUCGCGAGUGGCCGCCCCGCACUCCCGGGGCGUCUCGUUCUCAUCGCGAGAAGAGGCGCACCCAGAGCGUACACGCUGGGACCCGAAAGAUGGUGAACUAUGCCUGGUCAGGACGAAGUCAGGGGAAACCCUGAUGGAGGUCCGUAGCGAUUCUGACGUGCAAAUCGAUCGUCGGAACUGGGUAUAGGGGCGAAAGACUAAUCGAACCAUCUAGUAGCUGGUUCCCUCCGAAGUUUCCCUCAGGAUAGCUGGCGCUCGCUUCUUGCGAGUCUCAUUCGGUAAAGCGAAUGAUUAGAGGCAUUGGGGUCGAAACGGCCUCAACCUAUUCUCAAACUUUAAAUGGGUGAGAUCUCCGGCUUGCUUGAACUGUGAAGCCGCGAGAUAUCGGAUCAGAGUGCCAAGUGGGCCACUUUUGGUAAGCAGAACUGGCGCUGUGGGAUGAACCAAACGCCGAGUUAAAGCGCCUAAAUCGACGCUUAUGGGAUACCAUGAAAGGCGUUGGUAACUUAAGACAGCAGGACGGUGGCCAUGGAAGUCGGAA
rnacentral:rRNA from 1 species